ensembl:snoRNA
CAGAUACAGUGAUGAUGGCAUAGUUCAGCAGAGCAUCCUGUGGUGAACACUUCUGUCUUUCGCUCCUAUCUGAUGUGUCUG